rnacentral:rRNA from 1 species
UACGAAGGGGGCUAGCGUUGCUCGGAAUCACUGGGCGUAAAGGGUGCGUAGGCGGGUCUUUAAGUCAGGGGUGAAAUCCUGGAGCUCAACUCCAGAACUGCCUUUGAUACUGAGGAUCUUGAGUUCGGGAGAGGUGAGUGGAACUGCGAGUGUAGAGGUGAAAUUCGUAGAUAUUCGCAAGAACACCAGUGGCGAAGGCGGCUCACUGGCCCGAUACUGACGCUGAGGCACGAAAGCGUGGGGAGGCAAACAGGG